ACGUAGGGGGCGAGCGUUGUCCGGAAUUACUGGGCGUAAAGGGUGCGUAGGCGGUUUUACAAGUCGGAUGUGGAAUACCCGGGCUUAACCCGGGGGUGUCAUUCGAAACUGUAAGACUUGAGUGCAGAAGAGGAAAGUGGAAUUCCCAGUGUAGCGGUGAAAUGCGUAGAUAUUGGGAGGAACACCAGUGGCGAAGGCGACUUUCUGGGCUGUAACUGACGCUGAGGCACGAAAGCGUGGGGAGCAAACAG
rnacentral:rRNA from 1 species